GAUCCUGGCUCAGAAUCAACGCUGGCGGCGUGCCUAACACAUGCAAGUCGCACGAGAAAGCGGGCUUCGGCCUGCAAGUAAAGUGGCGCACGGGUGAGUAACACGUGAAUGAUCUACCUCCGAGUGGGGAAUAACCUAGAGAAAUCUGGGCUAAUACCGCAUAACACUUACGAGUCAAAGCAGCAAUGCGCUUGGAGAGGAGUUCGCGGCAGAUUAGUUAGUUGGCAGGGUAAUGGCCUACCAAGACGAUGAUCUGUAUCCGGCCUGAGAGGGCGCACGGACACACUGGAACUGAAACACGGUCCAGACUCCUACGGGAGGCAGCAGUGGGGAAUUUUGCGCAAUGGGGGAAACCCUGACGCAGCAACGCCGCGUGGAGGAUGAAGUCCCUUGGGAUGUAAACUCCUUUCGAUCGGGACGAUUAUGACGGUACCGGAAGAAGAAGCCCCGGCUAACUUCGUGCCAGCAGCCGCGGUAAUACGAGGGGGGCAAGCGUUGUUCGGAAUUAUUGGGCGUAAAGGGCGCGUAGGCGGUUUGACAAGUCUGAUGUGAAAUCUCUGGGCUCAACCCAGAGUCUGCAUUAGAAACUGUCGGGCUUGAGUAUGGGAGAGGUGAGUGGAAUUUCCGGUGUAGCGGUGAAAUGCGUAGAUAUCGGAAGGAACACCUGUGGCGAAAGCGGCUCACUGGACC
rnacentral:rRNA from 1 species